rnacentral:rRNA from 1 species
UACGUAGGGGGCAAGCGUUAUCCGGUAUUACUGGGUGUAAAGGGUGAGUAGGCGGCAUGGUAAGCCAGAUGUGAAAGCCUUGGGCUUAACCCGAGGAUUGCAUUUGGAACUAUCAAGCUAGAGUACAGGAGAGGAAAGCGGAAUUCCUAGUGUAGCGGUGAAAUGCGUAGAUAUUAGGAAGAACACCAGUGGCGAAGGCGGCUUUCUGGACUGAAACUGACGCUGAGGCACGAAAGCGUGGGGAGCGAACAGG